rnacentral:sRNA from 1 species
GCCGCUGCGGCUUUUUCUCUGGCCUCCGCGGCGCGCUCCUCCUCGUCCCAGCGCUAGCGGGCACGCGGUUCCUUUUUGCGAGCUUCCCGAGUGCCAGGCGCCGGCCGGCUGCGAAGACGCGGUGGGCCGCCCCUCCGAUUGAAAUCACAGAAGAUAUUCGUGUUCUUCUUAAGAGAAAAAGAGGACAUUUGUAAGUAUUUGUCCUUUAGAAAUUCUAAAUGUGUAAUUUUAUUAGCUUUUUGAGAAAAUUAAGUGACCAUACUAACAGGCAUCUUGACCCUUUUUAUAGAGGAAAAACUCUACCAAUAUUUAUGAUUGUGUUUAAAAAGGCACUAUUUUAUAGAGCAAAAUAGGAAAACAUUUUACCCUGUGCAGCUUCUAAAAUUUAAACCAUUUGCCACUCAUUUGUAAAAGAACAAGUGGUAAUUAAAAUUCAAACAACGUCUUUCUAUUUGAGUCGUACCCAAAACUGGAGUCAGGGAUUGGAGUUCCAGUUCUGACUACUGAGGCUUAUAGAAUAUGUGUCUUUGGUAAACUACUUAGUCUCUCAUUAUCUCAGUUUCCUUAUCUUUAAAAUGGGUUUAACAGUAAGUACACAAUCAGGGGUUCAUUAUUAUUAUUAUUAUUGUUGUUAUUGAGACAGAGUCUCGCUCUGUCUUCCAGGCUUGAGUGUAGUGGCGCCA